rnacentral:rRNA from 1 species
CUUGGUCAUUUAGAGGAAGUAAAAGGAUCUCCGUUGGUGACCAGCGGAGGGUCAUU